AUACGUAGGUGGCAAGCGUUGUCCGGAAUGAUUGGGCGUAAAGAGCGCGUAGGCGGAACGAUAAGUCUUAUGUGAAAGAGCGGGGCUUAACCCCGUGAAGGAUAAGAAACUGACGUUCUUGAGGGCAGGAGAGGAAAGUGGAAUUCCCAGUGUAGCGGUGAAAUGCGUAGAUAUUGGGAGGAACACCAGUGGCGAAGGCGGCUUUCUGGACUGCAACUGACGCUGAGGCGCGAAAGCUAGGGGAGAGAACAGGAUUAGAUACCCUGGUAUUCCUAGCCGUAAACGAUGGGCACUAGGUGUGGGAGGUAUCGACCCCUUCCGUGCCGGAGUUAACGCAAUAAGUGCCCCGCCUGGGGAGUACGGCCGCAAGGUUGAA
rnacentral:rRNA from 1 species